UGGAGAAGUUUUUGGUAUCCAGUCUCCUGCUCAGGAAGAAAGAAGAAAGUUUUUGGAGGACUUAAUCAUGAGUGGAGCUGCUGCUGAAGCUCCACUUCAAACAAGCAAGCUGGUGAGGACGUUGUGCAUCUCAGCCUUUCCUCACUGCAAGGUUUGUUCUGGAGGUCCCGAUGACGGCACAGGCAUGAAGCAGCCCAGAGCUCGUCGGUGCGGAGAGACUGCGUAUUGCGUUGUGAAGGGAGAGACGGAGGAGGGGUUUGAACAGCGUUGCGCAGGAAUGAAAGAAGCUGGUAAGAGAAGAGGCUGCGGCACUUCAAAGUGUGCUGUGGAUGGGCAGCGCGUUGACAACCCAAGGGUGGCACCAGGAGAUGCAGCGCAGCCCUCUCCAGCAGCAGGGUGCAUUUAUUCGUCUUGCUAAUUCUUGAAGUAGAAGGCAGGAGACGGGCAGCGUUACUGCAGCUCGUCUGCGACUUUGAAGCUAAGUUGGGAAGUGGAAGAUGUGGAUGUGAAAGAAGAACUCAGUUACUGGGACGCUCCCUUUUCUUCCCCUAGCUGUUCCCUUGCCUCAGCCCGGGUUCCCCUUGCAUUCCUGUAGGUUUCCCUUCCAUCCCCCUGGCUGCCCUGUGCUUUCCCCAAGGUUGCCCUUUCCUUUCCCAUGACAGCCCACCCAUAACUCCCUCAGCGCCCCAAUAGUCCCCUCAAUAUUUCCCAUCCAAGAACCUGUAGCUACCCCACGACCCCCACGGAGCCCCAUAGGCCCUCAAGGACCUCUUCACCUUCCGCAUAGCUGGCCCAAAACGUCACAGAACCACAUAGUCUGUUACAGUACCCCAUUUCCCUACUGGGCUCCCACUGAACCCCCAUGUUUCCUCCCUAAGACCUGCCUUACCUCAUCCAGAACCCCCCUGAGAUCUUCCCGACCCCAAAGUUCCUUACAGG